UCAGAACGAACGCUGGCGGCAUGCCUAACACAUGCAAGUCGAACGAACCCUUCGGGGUUAGUGGCGCACGGGUGCGUAACGCGUGGGAACCUGCCUUUAGGUUCGGAAUAACUCAGAGAAAUUUGAGCUAAUACCGGAUGAUGUCUUCGGACCAAAGAUUUAUCGCCUUUAGAUGGGCCCGCGUUAGAUUAGAUAGUUGGUGGGGUAACGGCCUACCAAGUCGACGAUCUAUAGCUGGUCUGAGAGGAUGAUCAGCCACACUGGGACUGAGACACGGCCCAGACUCCUACGGGAGGCAGCAGUCCCCAAUAUUCCACAAUGGGCGAAAGCCUGAUCCAGCAAUGCCGCGUGAGUGAUGAAGGCCUUAGGGUUGUAAAGCUGUUUUACCAGGGAUGAUAAUGACAGUACCUGGAGAAUAAGCUCCGGCUAACU
rnacentral:rRNA from 1 species